AAAAUGUUAGUAAACUUAUUACACCACCUUGUCAUGGCGGAAUAGCGAGCGAAACCCUCACACAUUUUA
rnacentral:tRNA from 1 species